AAAGACCAAGCCGAAAAUCUUUAAUAGAGUAGGCA
ncrna:unclassified sequences DTF805b RNA